AUACGUAGGCGGCAAGCGUUGUCCGGAAUUACUGGGUGUAAAGGGAGCGUAGGCGGGAAGACAAGUUGAAUGUUUAAACUAUCGGCUUAACCGGUAGUCGCGUUCAAAACUGUUUUUCUUGAGUGAAGUAGAGGUAGGCGGAAUUCCUAGUGUAGCGGGGAAAUGCGUAGAUAUUAGGAGGAACACCAGUGGCGAAGGCGGCCUACUGGGCUUUAACUGACGCUGAUGCUCGAAAGCGUGGGUAGCAAACAGGAUUAGAUACCCUGGUAGUCCACGCUGUAAACGAUGAAUACUAGGUGUUGGGAGACAAUAGUUUCUCGGUGCCGCAGCAAACGCAAUAAGUAUUCCACCUGGGGAGUACGUUCGCAAGAAUGAAACUUAAAGGAAUUGACGGGG
rnacentral:rRNA from 1 species